rnacentral:rRNA from 1 species
GCGCACGGGUGAGUAACACGUAUCCAACCUGCCCUUUACUCGGGGAUAGCCUUUCGAAAGAAAGAUUAAUGCCCGAUGGCAUAAUGAUUCCGCAUGGUUUCAUUAUUAAAGGAUUCCGGUAAAGGAUGGGGAUGCGUUCCAUUAGGUUGUUGGUGAGGUAACGGCUCACCAAGCCUUCGAUGGAUAGGGGUUCUGAGAGGAAGGUCCCCCACAUUGGAACUGAGACACGGUCCAAACUCCUACGGGAGGCAGCAGUGAGGAAUAUUGGUCAAUGGGCGUUAGCCUGAACCAGCCAAGUAGCGUGAAGGAUGAAGGCUCUAUGGGUCGUAAACUUCUUUUAUAUAAGAAUAAAGUGCAGUAUGUAUACUGUUUUGUAUGUAUUAUAUGAAUAAGGAUCGGCUAACUCCGUGCCAGCAGCCGCGGUAAUACGGAGGAUCCGAGCGUUAUCCGGAUUUAUUGGGUUUAAAGGGAGCGUAGGUGGACUGGUAAGUCAGUUGUGAAAGUUUGCGGCUCAACCGUAAAAUUGCAGUUGAUACUGUCAGUCUUGAGUACAGUAGAGGUGGUCGGAAUUCGUGGUGUAGCGGUGAAAUGCUUAGAUAUCACGAAGAACUCCGAUUGCGAAGGCAGCUCACUGGACU